CACACCGCCCGUCACGCCAUGGGAGUUGGUUUCACCCGAAGGUGGUGCGCUAGCCCGCAAGGGAGGCAGCCAACCACGGUGGGAUCAGCGACUGGGGUG
rnacentral:rRNA from 1 species